rnacentral:rRNA from 1 species
UGGGGAAUAUUGGACAAUGGGCGCAAGCCUGAUCCAGCCAUACCGCGUGGGUGAAGAAGGCCUUCGGGUUGUAAAGCCCUUUUGUUGGGAAAGAAAUCCAGCUGGUUAAUACCCGGUUGGGAUGACGGUACCCAAAGAAUAAGCACCGGCUAACUUCGUGCCAGCAGCCGCGGUAAUACGAAGGGUGCAAGCGUUACUCGGAAUUACUGGGCGUAAAGCGUGCGUAGGUGGUCGUUUAAGUCCGUUGUGAAAGCCCUGGGCUCAACCUGGGAACUGCAGUGGAUACUGGGCGACUAGAGUGUGGUAGAGGGUAGCGGAAUUCCUGGUGUAGCAGUGAAAUGCGUAGAGAUCAGGAGGAACAUCCAUGGCGAAGGCAGCUACCUGGACCAACACUGACACUGAGGCACGAAAGCGUGGGGAGCAAA